rnacentral:tRNA from 1 species
GCUCCAGUGGUGUGAUUGGUUAGCACACAGUACUGAUAAUGCUGAGAUUGUGAGUUCAAGCCUCACUUGGAGCA